rnacentral:rRNA from 1 species
UACGUAGGGUGCAAGCGUUGUCCGGAAUUAUUGGGCGUAAAGAGCUCGUAGGCGGUCUGUUGCGUCGGCUGUGAAAACCCGGGGCUCAACCCCGGGCCUGCAGCCGAUACGGGCAGACUAGAGUUCGGCAGGGGAGACUGGAAUUCCUGGUGUAGCAGUGAAAUGCGUAGAUAUCAGGAGGAACACCGAUGGCGAAGGCAGGUCUCUGGGCUGACACUGACGCUCAUGCACGAAAGCGUGGGGAGCAAACAGG